AAGGGUAACUACAAAAGCUGAUGUC
rnacentral:siRNA from 1 species